AGGUAAUGAAACAACAUAAAGGAGAAAAAAAACCCAACAAAUGGUGUUUGAACAGUACUGUUCUUCAUACUCCUCAAAGACCUUAGGCCACCUAAGCAUUUAAUAAGGACUGUUCAUUCUCCAAGGGGAUUGCAACCUGAAAUCUUGCUGAAAGACUGGUGCUACAACAGAGGACAGAGAAAAGAGUUUUUAGGUAUUGUGCAAUCCAAAUUAUGUUAACUGUUUACACCUGACUUUACAGAAAAUACAUUGAAGAAACAGCCCCAAGCUGGGUAGCUAAUAAAUUUCAUAGCAAUUCUAAGUUAGAGUUUGUGU